rnacentral:rRNA from 1 species
GAUGAACGCUGGCGGCGUGCUUAACACAUGCAAGUCGAACGAAGCACUUUAUUUGAUUUCCCUCGGGACUGAUUAUUUUGUGACUGAGUGGCGGACGGGUGAGUAACGCGUGGGUAACCUGCCUUGUACAGGGGGAUAACAGUUGGAAACGGCUGCUAAUACCGCAUAAGCGCACAGCAUCGCAUGAUGCAGUGUGAAAAACUCCGGUGGUAUAAGAUGGACCCGCGUUGGAUUAGCUAGUUGGUGAGGUAACGGCCCACCAAGGCGACGAUCCAUAGCCGACCUGAGAGGGUGACCGGCCACAUUGGGACUGAGACACGGCCCAAACUCCUACGGGAGGCAGCAGUGGGGAAUAUUGCACAAUGGGCGAAAGCCUGAUGCAGCGACGCCGCGUGAGCGAAGAAGUAUUUCGGUAUGUAAAGCUCUAUCAGCAGGGAAGAUAAUGACGGUACCUGACUAAGAAGCACCGGCUAAAUACGUG